rnacentral:rRNA from 1 species
AGAGUUUGAUCAUGGCUCAGGACGAACGCUGGCGGCGUGCCUAACACAUGCAAGUCGAACGGAGAAUUUCAAAGAGCUUGCUUAGAGAAAUUUUUAGUGGCGGACGGGUGAGUAACGCGUGGGUAACCUACCCAUAAACCCGGGACAACCCUUGGAAACGAGGGCUAAUACCGGAUAAUCUUAAAGCUUGGCAUCAAGGUUUAAGGAAAGGUGGCCUCUGAGUAUGCUACCGAUUAUGGAUGGACCCGCGUCUGAUUAGCUAGUUGGUGGGGUAAAGGCCUACCAAGGCGACGAUCAGUAGCCGGCCUGAGAGGGUGAACGGCCACACUGGGACUGAGACACGGCCCAGACUCCUACGGGAGGCAGCAGUGGGGAAUCUUCCGCAAUGGACGAAAGUCUGACGGAGCAACGCCGCGUGUAUGAUGAAGGUCUUCGGAUUGUAAAGUACUGUCUUUGGGGAAGAAUGACUGAUUUGAGAAUAUUGAGUCAGUAUGACGGUACCCAAGGAGGAAGCCCCGGCUAACUACGUGCCAGCAGCCGCGGUAAUACGUAGGGGGCAAGCGUUGUCCGGAAUUAUUGGGCGUAAAGGGCGCGUAGGCGGAUAGUUAAGUCCGGUGUGAAAGAUCAGGGCUCAACCCUGAGAGUGCAUCGGAAACUGGUUAUCUUGAGGACAGGAGAGGAAAGUGGAAUUCCUAGUGUAGCGGUGAAAUGCGUAGAUAUUAGGAGGAACACCAGUGGCGAAGGCGACUUUCUGGACUGUAACUGACGCUGAGGCGCGAAAGCGUGGGGAGCAAACAGGAUUAGAUACCCUGGUAGUCC